GCAUUGCGAUGGUCCCUGCG
rnacentral:snRNA from 1 species